UGAACGCUGGCGGCAGGCCUAACACAUGCAAGUCGAGCGGAUGAGAGGAGCUUGCUCCUCGAUUCAGCGGCGGACGGGUGAGUAAUGCCUAGGAAUCUGCCUGGUAGUGGGGGACAACGUUUCGAAAGGAACGCUAAUACCGCAUACGUCCUACGGGAGAAAGCAGGGGACCUUCGGGCCUUGCGCUAUCAGAUGAGCCUAGGUCGGAUUAGCUAGUUGGUGAGGUAAUGGCUCACCAAGGCGACGAUCCGUAACUGGUCUGAGAGGAUGAUCAGUCACACUGGAACUGAGACACGGUCCAGACUCCUACGGGAGGCAGCAGUGGGGAAUAUUGGACAAUGGGCGAAAGCCUGAUCCAGCCAUGCCGCGUGUGUGAAGAAGGUCUUCGGAUUGUAAAGCACUUUAAGUUGGGAGGAAGGGCAGUAAAUUAAUACUUUGCUGUUUUGACGUUACCGACAGAAUAAGCACCGGCUA
rnacentral:rRNA from 1 species